GAGAGAGAGGGAGCAGAGAGGGGCAGCCUACACAGUAACACAUAGACUGGAUAAAAAAUGGCAAUGAUAUUGAUAGUAAUGAUAAUGAUGGCAAUAAUGAUAGCAAUAAGACUAUAAAGAGUGGCUGUAAUUGUAACAGAGUAGGAAUACGGGGACAGCAGGAAACUCCCAACCACAGAUCCAGCUUCCACAGCUCUAGGAACACCUGCUUAUAAUUAUAUUGAAAAUAGCCACCUUUAUAACAUCUCCCCAAAAAAUGUGCUAUACAUUGAUUGAUUGUUGGUUGUUAUUGACACUUUACUUGACAGCUCCUGAUGCCCAAAGCUUUCCAAAUAUAUCAGCUGGACUCAGCUGAUCCUUUGCGCUUUGGUGACGAGCAAUAUUUAGGCGUAUUCAGGUUUAAUGUCUCUUUAAUUGAAACAAAACAAAAUCCUUCAUGUUCAGAAGGUGUGUGCUGUUUUGUUGUUGUCCAUGUUCUGAAACUCAUAGACAGCAGUUAUGAAAUAAGUAUCAGAAAAUUGACAUGGGGCCAUUAGUUAUUACAUAGACUGUUCAUUCAUACACCAAUAGGCAAAUUUGCCACUAAACUACUUCAUUGACUGGGUUACUACAUCAAGCUUUAACUGUUGUCUAUGGCUUUAGGAAUAUAUGUGUUUGUGUGCAUGUGAGGUGGGGCAGUGAAGCAUUAUUAAGCUAUCAAAACCAAAAGCCAAUCAGAAGAGAUCAUCUCUACUUUAAAUUGCACAUUUUAGUUGCACCUAGCUUCACUGCUCGUUCUGCAAAAGGUGGAGGGUUUUGGUGGUAAGGGUUUUGCGCUACAACUCUUUGCCUGCUCAACUAAUGUUCUGUUUACUAUCUGUAGCUCAAUUGCCACACGUUUGGCUACCGGCCAUUGGAAAGUCAUCAGAAACACGGAUGACAUGCCAUGGUUACGAAGGUGGUGGCGCCAUUCGAUGCUUGCAAAUAUAACUCUUGCUGCAAAUGCUAAUGACACUGCUUUGGCAUGCAAUGUUUUGCUAGCUGAAGAACCGGCAAGCAAAAUUCAACGUAUGGGGGACAUACAUCCCGAGGAAUUCCUUAAACAGAGCACCAUGACAAGAAUCGAUGAAGCAGAAUGCUGGAUACGGGACAACAUGUCUCUUUUCCGUGGACAUGUUGAACUGCCCAGCAUACUGUCCAUGACAGGAGAGGAUCGACAGCAGUUCUUUCAGAACAUCACCAAUGAUGACGACAUCCAUGAUUCAAGAGAAUGCCUCCAUUUUGUUUUCGAAUAUCAAGAAGAUUGCACAGUUUUUUUUUUAUUGUUGUUCAGCUGUGUCGGCAAUCUUUAACACCCCUACCCUUUCCCCUUAGCCAGAGGACG